AGCUACAAACUGAGACAAUGAGGUUC
rnacentral:piRNA from 1 species